rnacentral:rRNA from 1 species
GAUGAACGCUGGCGGCGUGCCUAAUACAUGCAAGUCGAGCGAACAGACGAGGAGCUUGCUCCUUCGACGUUAGCGGCGUACGGGUGAGUAACACGUAGGUAACCUACCUAUAAGACUGGGAUAACUUCGGGAAACCGGAGCUAAUACCGGAUAAUAUUUCGAACCGCAUGGUUCGAUAGUGAAAGAUGGCUUUGCUAUCACUUAUAGAUGGACCUGCGCCGUAUUAGCUAGUUGGUAAGGUAACGGCUUACCAAGGCAACGAUACGUAGCCGACCUGAGAGGGUGAUCGGCCACACUGGAACUGAGACACGGUCCAGACUCCUACGGGAGGCAGCAGUAGGGAAACUUACGCAAGGGGCGAAAGCCUGACGGAGCAACGCCGCGUGAGUGAUGAAGGUCUUCGGAUCGUAAAACUCUGUUAUUAGGGAAGAACAAAAGUGUAAGUAACUGUGCACGUCUUGACGGUACCUAAUCAGAAAGCCACGGCUAACUAAGUG